UACGAACUGUGCAAACGUUAUUCGGAUUCACUGGGCUUAAAGGGUGCGUAGGCGGCCAUGUAAGUAGGGUGUGAAAUCCCCCGGCUUAACCGGGGAACUGCGCCCUAAACUGUAUGGCUGGAGUGAGAUAGGGGUGUGUGGAACUUCCGGUGGAGCGGCGAAAUGUGUUGAUAUCGGAAGGAACGCCGGUGGCGAAAGCGACACACUGGGUCUCAACUGACGCUGAGGCACGAAAGCCAGGGGAGCGAACGGG
rnacentral:rRNA from 1 species